UGUUUCAGCCUCGCUAAGUGGUCGAGAGCGGGUUUUAUAAUUGAUUUUUGUUUGGUGAUAUGAUCUCUGUAUGCAACCAUGGCCACGACCACUCAUCCACAUUCAAACUGUUUUUUUAAACAAAUUCUUCAAACAUCAUUUUCUAUUUUGACCAAUGUCUUACUCAUUAUUAGCAUAUGUUUAAAAUAUGUGCGUAACUGCAACAGCUAGCUUAAGGUCUAUUGAAAGUAUGCCUUUUUUUUUUAUUUUUU